rnacentral:rRNA from 1 species
AUGAAGUACAUGCACUGUCUUCGCGAAGGAUUGGAGCUCCCAGAGUUAGACCAAGGCAUUGCUUUUCCAGGGAUGGACUCUAUUGAGAAAGUUCUUGAGUUGGUGAAGAUUCUACAGUUAGAUGCUUACGAUGAUGGUAUUUUCAGUCAUGAAAAAGCGCAACAGCCAGAUGUAUGGCGUGCACGUGAUGAGUCAUUUGCUAGAAAGGAAAAGGAUACACACUGCAAAAAGAAACAUGGAAAAGGUGCACCUCCUCCUGAGGAUUCUUUUGUACCUAUGGAUGACGGUCUGUUUCAUAUGUUGAAUGUCAAUGGGAAGGUGGAGAGUUUAUUUACAGAGCAGCCCCCUGGUCCUGAACUGAAACUGGGUCAAGGGCAUGGGCGGUUUUCAAAUAAAGCAAAAGUUAGUUCUCCAAGCUGCUACGCUAGAAGGAAGAUGAGCACCCAAGGAUGGGACAACAAGAUUCUUCAUCUGAAAAGGUCUAUUUUGGAUAUGCCAAUGGACAAAUUGCUGCAUACCACCUUGGCGAGAAGACAAGUGCAAAUGCCCAUGAGGCUUCAUGUCAGCAUCAUAAAUACCUCAAAAAAUGAAAAGUUCUUUACAAAAACGACUACAUGGACAACCCAGAAGUGCUGUCCUUAUCGUUACCUCCCCAAAGACAAUAUAAAGGUUUUGGGUAUUGGAGGAACUGCGGAAUUUAUAGGUGAAAGAAUUAUACAAACCAGAAUGGUCAACAAAAGAAUGGCCAUGCUCAGGCCUUUGAUUCUCGGUAUGCACAUGGUGCAGACCUGCCCGCGGUGGCCAGGAAUGUUUCGAGCUGCUAACAGCAAAGGACACAAUGUUUUGCAUCGGUUUAUUCUAAGCCCGCAGAGUCCUGCACAAGGUGAAGUUGGGAGGUAA